CCAACUUUUACUAAGAGUUUUGGUGUUCUCUGCAAAGAUGUAUCUAAGCUUCAGUUGAAGAAAAUUAUCGGUCACAAAAUUAAUUGUUUUUCAAUUAAAUUCUGAUAAAAGAUUUGAUUAUCUAUGUAGAGUUUGAAAUCAGUUGAAACUCUCUACUUUCUAUACAAUCUUUGGAUACAAAUCUACUAUGCAAUUAUCAAAUCAGAUUGGCAAGGCUAUAAAUGAAGCUUGUAAGAUCUCGGAUACUGACGGUGGAUGGUGGUUAAAAGAGAAUCAAGAAGUUACUAAUAAAAAGACUUAGCAUGAUGCUACAAAUAGAAAGAAAUCCAGUCAAAUUGAAUUAAGCAUGAGCUCUUUUUCUGCCUCUACACCUUACAACCUAUGUAUUCUAAGAUGUAAAUCUUACAAAACUAAAGAAUAGAAGAACAAGAGAUGGUGAUUUAAUUUUUUAUAUGAAAAAAUAUAGAAAGUAAGGCCUUCUAA